rnacentral:rRNA from 1 species
AGUGAACGCUGGCGGUAGGCCUAACACAUGCAAGUCGAACGGCAGCACAGUAAGAGCUUGCUCUUACGGGUGGCGAGUGGCGGACGGGUGAGGAAUACAUCGGAAUCUACUUUUUCGUGGGGGAUAACGUAGGGAAACUUACGCUAAUACCGCAUACGACCUACGGGUGAAAGCAGGGGAUCUUCGGACCUUGCGCGAUUGAAUGAGCCGAUGUCGGAUUAGCUAGUUGGCGGGGUAAAGGCCCACCAAGGCGACGAUCCGUAGCUGGUCUGAGAGGAUGAUCCGCCACCCUGGAACUGAGACACGUCCCAGACUCCUACGGGAGGCAGCAGUGGGGAAUAUUGGACAAUGGGCGCAAGCCUGAUCCAGCCAUACCGCGUGGGUGAAGAAGGCCUUCGGGUUGUAAAGCCCUUUUGUUGGGAAAGAAAAGCAGCAGGUUAAUACCCCGCUGUUCUGACGGUACCCAAAGAAUAAGCACCGGCUAACUUCGUG